rnacentral:rRNA from 1 species
UACGAAGGGUGCAAGCGUUACUCGGAAUUACUGGGCGUAAAGCGUGCGUAGGUGGUUUGUUAAGUCUGAUGUGAAAGCCCUGGGCUCAACCUGGGAACUGCAUUGGAAACUGGCUUACUAGAGUGCGGUAGAGGGGUGUGGAAUUCCCGGUGUAGCAGUGAAAUGCGUAGAUAUCGGGAGGAACACCAGUGGCGAAGGCGAGUCCCUGGACAACUCCUGACACUGAGGCACGAAAGCUAGGGGAGCAAACAGG